CCUACGGGUGGCAGCAGUGGGGAAUAUUGCACAAUGGGGGAAACCCUGAUGCAGCGACGCCGCGUGAGUGAAGAAGUACUUCGGUAUGUAAAGCUCUAUCAGUAGGGAAGAAAAUGACGGUAUGUAAUUAAUCAGCUCUGACGAAUUUCGUGCCAGCAGCCGCGGUAAUACGUAGGGGGCAAGCGUUAUCCGGAGUUACUGGGUGUAAAGGGAGCGUAGACGGCAGCACAAGUCUGGAGUGAAAUGCCGUGGCUUAACCCCAGAACUGCUUUGGAAACUGUGAAGCUAGAGUGCAGGAGAGGUAAGUGGAAUUCGUGGUGUAGCGGUGAAAUGCGUAGAUAUUAGGAGGAACACCAAUGGCGAAGGCGGCUUACUGGACUGUAACUGACGUUGAGGCUCGAAAGCGUGGGGAGCAAACAGGAUUAGAUACCCCAGUAGUC
rnacentral:rRNA from 1 species